UUGCAAGCCUUCCAGCAUGCUUGGGUCUAGGGUGACUGUGCGUUCCUGCAGUGCUUGCUAGAAUGUCCUGAAAUGGUUUGAGGCUGUGCCCUAUCUCUUCCUCAGAACACGGUCCUAGACAUUUCAGACAAUU
ensembl:snoRNA